GACGAACGCUGGCGGCGUGCUUAACACAUGCAAGUCGAACGGAAAGGCCCUGCUUUUGUGGGGUGCUCGUGUGGCGAACGGGUGUGUCACACGAGAGUAUCCUGCCCCAGCCAGUGAGAAAACUUGAAGACACUGGGUAUAAUCUAAGAUAAUAGCACUUGCUGCUUGGAUGAGGAUGGAAAGUUUAGGCGGUUGGGGAUGGCCUCGCGGCUUAUUAGCUUGUUGGUGGGGUAGUGGCUUACCAAGGCGUUGGUGGGUAGCCGGCCUGAGAGGGUGACCGGCCACAUUGGGACUGAGAUACGGCCCAGAACCCUACGGGGGGGAACAGGUGGGAAUAUUGCACAAUGGGCGGAAGCGUGUGGCAGCAACGUUGCGUGCGGGAUGACGGGCUUCGGGUAGUAAACAGUGUUCGCCGGUGACGAAGCGUGAGUGACGGUAAUGGGUAAAGAAGCACCGGCUAACUACGUG
rnacentral:rRNA from 1 species